ensembl:lncRNA
GUACAACACAGUGUAGAGGACCACGCAAGAAUGGGCAGCUAAUGCUCAGAAGACCCACACUCCCUGAUGGCUUUCAAGGCAGGCUUUUGAAAGUGUCUAUAAGGAUUCAAGAGACAGCAAGAGAAAACUCUGGGGGCCAAGUGCUCCCCUGCCUCCCCAACAUAUUCCUUCAGGAAAUAAGGUUCUCAUGUCCUCCUUAGGUUCCAUCGAGUCAGACCACUCGACAAGACAUUGCUCACAGUUGAAAAAAGUCCAUAUGAGAGAAAGAUUCUGAAGACGCACCUUGGAACUUCUCACUUCUACAGACCCCAUGAGAGCUCUUCCCUCUAAAUCUACAAAUCUGAAAUUCCAACUGUAUGAACAAACUUGAAAUGUGCCUAGUGGAACUGAGCAAUUGGAUGAGUUUCAUGUUUUAUAUUAAUAGAGUGGAUUCUUUACCACUGAGCCAUCAGGGAAGUCCACAAAGGAAGAUGAGCAAUUAUAAUCACAGCACAGACAGAGCUCGUGGCGAGAAUCCUUCUUACUUUUAAUAUUAAAAUAUGAAAUGGACAUUUCUACAUGUAUUUCCUGUUUUUCAAUGU